ensembl:miRNA
UGUAAACAUCCUACACUCAGCUGUGAGUUGGCAGCAGAGGCUGGGAGAAGGCUGUUUACUUU